GUCAAGUUCAAAGUAGAUGGGGUUUGGAAUUUGCUGAGGCUUCCAUAUACCCUUGUAGCUGGGGUUGUCGAUAAGUGGAGCAUGCCAUUUACCUUUGUAUGCUGGGUUACUCUUCAUUGGCUUCUUCCACUCACCACAGCCAGGAGCCUCCUCACACUUAGGGUUAUCAAUCUUUGGAGCCUCCCAUUCACCAUCCUCCUCAUCAUCCCAAUCUUCAGGUUUGGAUGCCUCGGGAUCUUCAAUUUCCUCAGGCUCAUCAUCCAACCAUCCUUCAGGUUUUGUAGCUUCCUCAUCUUCAAUUUCCAUAGGUGCAUCCUCGUCCCAAUCAUCUGGUUUUGUGGCAUCUGGAUCUGGAAUCUUAGCUCUCUCAUCCCAAUCCUCAGGCUUCUUAUCAUCUGGAUCAGGGAUAGUCUUGGCUGGAAUUAGUGCUGGCUCAAAGUCAUCAGCUGAUAGAAUGUUGACCUUUUUCUUUUCUUCUCCAUCAACCAAGAUCCUUAUCUCGUUAUCAGGCUUCAAAAUGGCA
rnacentral:lncRNA from 1 species